rnacentral:rRNA from 1 species
UGAGGAAUAUUGGUCAAUGGACGAGAGUCUGAACCAGCCACGUAGCGUGCAGGAUGACGGCCCUAUGGGUUGUAAACUGCUUUUGUUUGGGAAUAAUCGACAUUACGUGUAAUGUUUUGCAUGUACCAUUCGAAUAAGGACCGGCUAAUUCCGUGCCAGCAGCCGCGGUAAUACGGAAGGUCCAGGCGUUAUCCGGAUUUAUUGGGUUUAAAGGGAGCGUAGGCCGUUUGGUAAGCGUGUUGUGAAAUGUAGGAGCUCAACUUCGAGAUUGCAGCGCGAACUGUCAGACUUGAGUGCGCACAAGGUAGGCGGAAUUCAUGGUGUAGCGGUGAAAUGCUUAGAGAUCAGGAAGAACUCCGAUUGCGAAGGCAGCUUACGGGAGAGCAACUGACGCUGAAGCUCGAAGGUGCGGGUAGCGAACAGG